rnacentral:rRNA from 1 species
UACGGAGGGUGCAAGCGUUAUCCGGAUUCACUGGGCGUAAAGGGUGCGUAGGCGGGUCUUUAAGUCAGGGGUGAAAUCCUGGAGCUCAACUCCAGAACUGCCUUUGAUACUGAGGAUCUUGAGUUCGGGAGAGGUGAGUGGAACUGCGAGUGUAGAGGUGAAAUUCGUAGAUAUUCGCAAGAACACCAGUGGCGAAGGCGGCUCACUGGCCCGAUACUGACGCUGAGGCACGAAAGCGUGGGGAGCAAACAGG